UACGUAGGGUGCGAGCGUUAAUCGGAAUUACUGGGCGUAAAGCGUGCGCAGGCGGCGCGUUAAGACAGGUGUGAAAGCCCCGAGCUUAACUUGGGAAUUGCGCUUGUGACUGGCGUGCUGGAGUGUGGCAGAGGGAGGUGGAAUUCCACGUGUAGCAGUGAAAUGCGUAGAGAUGUGGAGGAAUACCAGAGGCGAAGGCGGCCCACUGGGCUGCACCUGACGCUGAGCCGCGAAAGCCAGGGGAGCGAACGGG
rnacentral:rRNA from 1 species